CACAGCUGCACUAUUGAGCACAUGUCCCAGUGAUCAGAGUUUCUUGAGCUAACACAGAGCAAAAGGCCACCUGGCAGACUGACUCAGCAGGGGAUGUCUACACACGGUGUGAGUCGUGUGCGUCACUAAAGAAUUACCACACCCACACCCCUCACCACUUUGUAAGCCUGCGGUUGCAUUACUGUGUUGCUGUACUGUGCUGUUAAGCUAAGGAAUCACAGUAAAGACGGUAUAACCUUUAACUGUGCGUCCAGUGUGUUCUGACCGACACCCCAAGGUGAACACCACUGCUAUUCAGCCAACGCCUAUACAGUCCUGGGUUCAACCCAAAUUAACAGAUGUCCGCUCUGUGAUGGUUACUGGAUCCUGUUCAGGAAGGUUGAUGGAGGGCGGGCCCUAACCUGGGCAGAAACAUU